UCUCUGUCUCUCCAUAUGCACGCAGUGAGGAGAGGCCAUGUUGAGCACACAGUAAGAAGGUGGCUACCUAGAAGCCAGGAAGCAGGCUGUCACCAAGAACCAAAUCUGCUGACACCUUGAGCUUAGACUUUACAGCAUCCAAAACGGAAAGAAAUACAUGCCUGUUGUUUAAGCCACCCAGUCUACGAUGUGGAACUUCAGUUCUAUUUUCAUGAUUAAAAUUAAGCAUGACAAGAAGCACAGAAUGAAAUACUAAAAAUAGUCAAGACUGUGUGUCUAAACCAUCAUUUGGAGAACAAGAUGUUUCUUUCAUCUGGGUAUACAGAAGGUUACACUGGAAUGAAGUUUUUAUGACCUGCUUCAGGAGUAAUGGCA